CCAGACUCCUACGGGAGGCAGCAGUGGGGGAUAUUGGACAAUGGGGGGAACCCUGAUCCAGCGACGCCGCGUGAGUGAAGAAGUAUCUCGGUAUGUAAAGCUCUAUCAGCAGGGAAGAAAGAAAUGACGGUACCUGAGUAAGAAGCCCCGGCUAACUACGUGCCAGCAGCCGCGGUAAUACGUAGGGGGCAAGCGUUAUCCGGAAUUACUGGGUGUAAAGGGAGCGCAGACGGUGAAGUAAGCCUGGAGUGAAAGGCGGGGGCCCAACCCCCGGACUGCUCUGGAAACUAUUUGACUGGAGUGCAGGAGAGGUAAGCGGAAUUCCUAGUGUAGCGGUGAAAUGCGUAGAUAUUAGGAGGAACACCAGUGGCGAAGGCGGCUUGCUGGGCUUUUACUGACGCUGAGGCUCGAAAGCGUGGGGAGCAAACAGGAUUAGAUACCCGUGUA
rnacentral:rRNA from 1 species